UACAAUUGGUAGCGAAGUCGCGAGGCGGAGCCAAUCCGUAAAAGCUGGCCUCAGUUCAGAUUGCAGGCUGCAACCCGCCUGCAUGAAGAUGGAGUUGCUAGUAACCGCAGGUCAGCAAUACUGCGGUGAAUACGUUCCCGGGCCUU
rnacentral:rRNA from 1 species